AGCAGUCAGUGUGUCUGGCGGGUGUCGGCGUGAAGCGGGACUGGGCCAGCGGGAGGUAGCUCUGUGGGAGUGGAAGGCCUGUAUUUCUCUACCUGGACCGCACGCUCCUCGCGCAAGGAGGGUAGAGCUCAAGAUGCUUGGGAUUUGCUUUACAUUCUAAGUGGAUUUGGAGAAGAGACAAUAAAGAAUAAGCAGUCGAUUCUAUAAUAUAUUUAGAAGGAGAAAAGUGCCAAGGAGGAAUGAAAAAGUAGAGCAAGAGACAGCAUCUUGCUGCCACCCAGGCUGGAGUGCAGUGGUGCAGUCUUAGCUUACUGCAGCCUCAAACUUCUGGGCUCAAGUAAUCCUCCCGCCUCAGCUUCCUGAGUAGCUGAGAUUACAGAUUUGCUUUGAGGUCACAUUGAUAUGAAAUAUGGAGUCACCUUUCAUAACUUCACCUGGGAAAGAGAGAGAAAACUUUCUUGUUAAAAAAACAUAAGGAAAACAAACAACCAAAGGAAUCAUGC
rnacentral:sRNA from 1 species